AGCGAACGCUGGCGGCAGGCCUAACACAUGCAAGUCGAACGCACCGCAAGGUGAGUGGCGCACGGGUGAGUAACACGUGGGAAUGUACCCUUUGGUUCGGAAUAACGUUUGGAAACGAACGCUAAUACCGGAUAAGCCCUACGGGGGAAAGAUUUAUCGCCAAAGGAGCAGCCCGCGUCUGAUUAGCUAGUUGGUGGGGUAAAGGCCUACCAAGGCGACGAUCAGUAGCUGGUCUGAGAGGAUGAUCAGCCACACUGGGACUGAGACACGGCCCAGACUCCUACGGGAGGCAGCAGUGGGGAAUAUUGGACAAUGGGCGGAAGCCUGAUCCAGCCAUGCCGCGUGAGUGAUGAAGGCCUUCGGGUUGUAAAGCUCUUUCGCACGCGACGAUGAUGACGGUAGCGUGAGAAGAAGCCCCGGCUAACUUCGUGCCAGCAGCCGCAGUAACAC
rnacentral:rRNA from 1 species